GCACUGGGGGUUGUAGGACUGCAAUGUGCAAGAGGUAAGUUUAGCAGAACAUUCUGGAAAGUAUAACCAUAGAGGGUGAUAGUCCCGUAUGCGAAAAACAAACCUUAGCUAGCAGUAUCCUGAGUAGGGCGGGACACGAGGAAUCCUGUCUGAAUCCGGGUCGACCACGAUCCAACCCUAAAUACUAAUACCAGAUCGAUAGUGCACAAGUACCGUGAGGGAAAGGUGAAAAGAACUGAGGUGAUCAGAGUGAAAUAGAACCUGAAACCAUUUGCUUACAAUCAUUCAGAGCACUAUGUAGCAAUACAGUGUGAUGGACUGCCUUUUGCAUAAUGAGCCUGCGAGUUGUGGUGUCUGGCAAGGUUAAGCAAACGCGAAGCCGUAGCGAAAGCGAGUCUGAAUAGGGCGCUUAGUCAGAUGCUGCAGACCCGAAACGAAGUGAUCUAUCCAUGAGCAAGUUGAAGCUAGUGUAAGAACUAGUGGAGGACUGAACCCAUAGGCGUUGAAAAGCCCCGGGAUGACUUGUGGAUAGGGGUGAAAGGCCAAUCAAACUUCGUGAUAGCUGGUUCUCUCCGAAAUAUAUUUAGGUAUAGCGUUGUGUCGUAAUAUAAGGGGGUAGAGCACUGAAUGGGCUAGGGCAUACACCAAUGUACCAAACCCUAUCAAACUCCGAAUACCUUAUAUGUAAUCACAGCAGUCAGGCGGCGAGUGAUAAAAUCCGUCGUCAAGAGGGAAACAACCCAGACUACCAGCUAAGGUCCCUAAAUCUUACUUAAGUGGAAAACGAUGUGAAGUUACUUAAACAACCAGGAGGUUGGCUUAGAAGCAGCCAUCCUUUAAAGAAAGCGUAAUAGCUCACUGGUCUAGUGAUUUUGCGCGGAAAAUAUAACGGGGCUAAAGUAAGUACCGAAGCUGUAGACUUGCACACAACUUAGAUUAUUUAAGUUUAGAAUAUGAGAAACUAAGUUAUAUGUUUAGUUAUAUUUUUACUGAUUUUUAUAGAGUAAAGAUAGAAAUAAAACUUAGUAAAAUCAGUAAAAAUAUUCUUAGACUAAAGUUAAGUAGUUUAAGUUGUGUGCAAGUGGUAGGAGAGCGUUCUAUUUGCGUCGAAGGUAUACCGGUAAGGAGUGCUGGAGCGAAUAGAAGUGAGCAUGCAGGCAUGAGUAGCGAUAAUUAAUGUGAGAAUCAUUAACGCCGUAAACCCAAGGUUUCCUACGCGAUGCUCGUCAUCGUAGGGUUAGUCGGGUCCUAAGUCGAGUCCGAAAGGGGUAGACGAUGGCAAAUUGGUUAAUAUUCCAAUACCAACAUUAGUGUGCGAUGGAAGGACGCUUAGGGCUAAGGGGGCUAGCGGAUGGAAGUGCUAGUCUAAGGUCGUAGGAGGUUGUACAGGCAAAUCCGUAUAACAAUACUCCGAGAACUGAAAGGCUUUUUGAAGUCUUCGGAUGGAUAGAAGAACCCCUGAUGCCGUCGAGCCAAGAAAAGUUUCUAAGUUUAGCUAAUGUUGCCCGUACCGUAAACCGACACAGGUGGGUGGGAUGAGUAUUCUAAGGCGCGUGGAAGAACUCUCUUUAAGGAACUCUGCAAAAUAGCACCGUAUCUUCGGUAUAAGGUGUGGUUAGCUUUGUAUUAGGAUUUACUCCGAAAGCAAGGAAACUUACAACAAAGAGUCCCUCCCGACUGUUUACCAAAAACACAGCACUCUGCUAACUCGUAAGAGGAUGUAUAGGGUGUGACGCCUGCCCGGUGCUCGAAGGUUAAUUGAUGGGGUUAGCAUUAGCGAAGCUCUUGAUCGAAGCCCGAGUAAACGGCGGCCGUAACUAUAACGGUCCUAAGGUAGCGAAAUUCCUUGUCGGUUAAAUACCGACCUGCAUGAAUGGCGUAACGAGAUGGGAGCUGUCUCAAAGAGGGAUCCAGUGAAAUUGUAGUGGAGGUGAAAAUUCCUCCUACCCGCGGCAAGACGGAAAGACCCCGUGGACCUUUACUACAGCUUGACACUGCUACUUGGAUAAGAAUGUGCAGGAUAGGUGGGAGGCUUUGAGUAUAUGACGCCAGUUGUAUAUGAGCCAUUGUUGAGAUACCACUCUUUCUUAUUUGGGUAGCUAACCAGCUUGAGUUAUCCUCAAGUGGGACAAUGUCUGGUGGGUAGUUUGACUGGGGCGGUCGCCUCCCAAAUAAUAACGGAGGCUUACAAAGGUUGGCUCAGAACGGUUGGAAAUCGUUCGUAGAGUAUAAAGGUAUAAGCCAGCUUAACUGCAAGACAUACAAGUCAAGCAGAGACGAAAGUCGGUCUUAGUGAUCCGGUGGUUCUGUGUGGAAGGGCCAUCGCUCAAAGGAUAAAAGGUACCCCGGGGAUAACAGGCUGAUCUCCCCCAAGAGCUCACAUCGACGGGGAGGUUUGGCACCUCGAUGUCGGCUCAUCGCAUCCUGGGGCUGGAGCAGGUCCCAAGGGUAUGGCUGUUCGCCAUUUAAAGCGGUACGCGAGCUGGGUUCAGAACGUCGUGAGACAGUUCGGUCCCUAUCUGCCGUGGGCGUAAGAAGAUUGAAGAGAUUUGACCCUAGUACGAGAGGACCGGGUUGAACAAACCACUGGUGUAGCUGUUGUUCUGCCAAGAGCAUCGCAGCGUAGCUAAGUUUGGAAAGGAUAAACGCUGAAAGCAUCUAAGCGUGAAGCCAACUCUAAGAUGAAUCUUCUCUAAGCUCUCUAGAAGACUACUAGUUUGAUAGGCUGGGUGUGUAAUGGAUGAAAGUCCUUUAGCUGACCAGUACUAAUAGAGCGUUUGGCUUAUCUUUAAUAAAGCAU
rnacentral:rRNA from 1 species